rnacentral:rRNA from 1 species
GCUUGGAAGUGUGGACGCCAGUCUGCAUGGAGCCGACCUUGAAAUACCACCCUUUAAUGUUUGAUGUUCUAACGUUGACCCGUAAUCCGGGUUGCGGACAGUGUCUGGUGGGUAGUUUGACUGGGGCGGUCUCCUCCUAAAGAGUAACGGAGGAGCACGAAGGUUGGCUAAUCCUGGUCGGACAUCAGGAGGUUAGUGCAAUGGCAUAAGCCAGCUUGACUGCGAGCGUGACGGCGCGAGCAGGUGCGAAAGCAGGUCAUAGUGAUCCGGUGGUUCUGAAUGGAAGGGCCAUCGCUCAACGGAUAAAAGGUACUCCGGGGAUAACAGGCUGAUACCGCCCAAGAGUUCAUAUCGACGGCGGUGUUUGGCACCUCGAUGUCGGCUCAUCACAUCCUGGGGCUGAAGUAGGUCCCAAGGGUAUGGCUGUUCGCCAUUUAAAGUGGUACGCGAGCUGGGUUUAGAACGUCGUGAGACAGUUCGGUCCCUAUCUGCCGUGGGCGCUGGAGAACUGAGGGGGGCUGCUCCUAGUACGAGAGGACCGGAGUGGACGCAUCACUGGUGUUCGGGUUGUCAUGCCAAUGGCACUGCCCGGUAGCUAAAUGCGGAAGAGAUAAGUGCUGAAAGCAUCUAAGCACGAAACUUGCC